AUUGAACGCUGGCGGCAUGCUUUACACAUGCAAGUCGAACGGUAACAGGCCGCAAGGUGCUGACGAGUGGCGCACGGGUGCGUAAUGCAUCGGAACGUGCCCAGUCGUGGGGGAUAACUACUCGAAAGAGUAGCUAAUACCGCAUACGAUCUAUGGAUGAAAGCGGGGGACCGUAAGGCCUCGCGCGAUUGGAGCGGCCGAUGUCAGAUUAGGUAGUUGGUGGGGUAAAGGCUCACCAAGCCAACGAUCUGUAGCUGGUCUGAGAGGACGACCCGCCACACUGGGACUGAGACACGGCCCAGACUCCUACGGGAGGCAGCAGUGGGGAAUUUUGGACAAUGGGCGCAAGCCUGAUCCAGCAAUGCCGCGUGCAGGAAGAAGGCCUUCGGGUUGUAAACUGCUUUUGUACGGAACGAAACGGCUCUGGUUAAUACCCGGGGCUAAUGACGGUACCGUAAGAAUAAGCACCGGCUAACUACGUG
rnacentral:rRNA from 1 species